rnacentral:lncRNA from 1 species
UGGAUAAUCUUCCCCCUGGCGGGAUUCAACGUCGUGCUCAUCGCCGUCCAGCUCGUCUCCAUCAUGUUCGUCGGUCACCUCGGAACUCUGGAGCUCUCCAGCGCCGCCAUCGCCACUUCUCUCUGCAACGUCUCGGGUUUCAGCCUCGUGGUAAGCUCAGAUCUGAAAAAAGAAAAGGAAAAAAAAAAAGACAGAAAACUUACACAUGUUCGUUGACAAAAUUCUCUCCCUGAUGUGAAAAGAUCGGCCUCGCCUUUGCUCUCGACACUCUGUGCGGCCAAGCCCAUGGAGCCAAGCAGUAUCACAAGGUCGGCGUCUUCAUCCAG